AUGGAGGCGGCGCUGGAGGCGGCGCGCUCCAAGGACACCAAGGAGCGUCUGGCCGGGGUGGAGCGGCUGCACGAGGCCCUGGAGGCCGCGGCGCGGCGCGGGCUCACCGCGGCCGAGGUCACGGCGCUCGUCGACACCUGCAUGGAUCUCACCAGGGACGCCAACUUCCGGGUCGCGCAGGGCGGCCUGCACGCGCUCUCCGCCGCCGCCGUGCUCGCCGGCGACCACUUCAAGAUCCACCUCAAUGCCCUCGUGCCCGCCGCCGUCGAGCGCCUCGGCGACGGCAAGCAGCCCGUCCGUGACGCCUCCCGCCAGCUCCUCGUCACGCUCAUGGAGGUUUCUUCUCCAACAAUCAUUGUUGAAAGAGCUGGAAGUUAUGCUUGGACUCACAAGAGCUGGAGGGUGCGAGAAGAGUUUGUGCGCACCCUUGCAACGGCAGUUGGGCUUUUUGCUUCUACAGAGCUCCUUCUACAGCGAGUGUUUCUUUCACCUGUCCUGCAAUUGUUGAAUGAUUUGAAUCAAAGUGUUAGAGAGGCUGCAAUCUCCUGUAUUCAGGAGAUGUACAAAAAUAUGGGAUCUCAGUUCCAUGAAGAGCUGCAGCGCCAUAAUCUGCCUUCUUAUAUGCUAAAGGAAAUAAAUUCAAGAUUGGAUAAAAUAGAACCAAAGGCUCCCCCAUCUGAUGGUGCUAGAACGCAAUAUAGGGCCAUGGAAAGAUCUGUUAGUGCUCAUCCUAAAAGAGGCAGUCCAAGGAAAAAAAACACAUCCAGGGAAAGCACAUUAUUUGGAGGUGACACAGAUAUUACCGAAAAACCGGUGGAACCCAUAAGAGUUCAUUCAGAGAAAGAAUUAUUUAGAGAGAUUGAGAAGAUUGCAUCUGCCCUUAAUCCAGAAAAGGACUGGUCUAUACGUAUUGCUGCAAUGCAAAGGAUCGAAGCCUUGGUAUAUGGAGGCGCAAUUGAUUAUCCAUCAUUUUUCAUGCUCUUGAAGCAGCUGGUUCAUCCAUUGUCCUCUCAGCUAGCCGAUCGACGGUCUAGCAUUGUAAAGCAGGCAUGUCAUCUACUUAACGUACUAUCGAAGGAACUCCUCAGCGACUUUGAAGCAUGCGCUGAAAUAUUUAUUCCGGCACUUUUUAAGCUUGUUGUCAUAACUGUGCUCGUGAUUGCCGAAUCUUCAGACAACUGUGUAAAAACUAUCCUGCGGAACUGCAAGGUUUCACGUAUUGUUCCACUUAUAGCUGACACAGCAAAAAAUGACCGCAGUGCAAUCCUCCGUGCCAGGUGUUGUGAGUAUGCACUUCUAAUAUUGGAAUAUUGGGCCGAUGCUCCAGAAAUACAACGCUCAGCUGAUUUAUAUGAAGAUCUAAUAAAAUGCUGUGUGGCAGAUGCAAUGAGCGAGGUUCGUGCAACUGCAAGAAGUUGCUAUAGGAUGUUCAUAAAGACAUGGCCUGAGCGUUCACGUCGGCUUUUUAUGUCAUUUGAUCCUGCAAUACAGAGGAUUAUUAAUGAUGAAGAUGGGGGCAUGCACAAGCGAUAUCCUUCAUCAUUGCAUGAGAAGGGUGCUCAACUUUCUCGUUCCUCAUCUCAUGCAAGUGGUACACAUUUGACCGGAUAUAGCACUUCAUCUAUUGUUGCAAUGGACAAGGGUGCAACAAUUUCUUCUGAAUCAUCUCUCCCGUCAAGCAUGCUCUUGUUGCAGUCUAAGGCAACUGGCAGACAUGCGGAAAGAAGCAUAGAGAGUGUGCUUAGUUCAAGCAAACAAAAGGUUUCAGCCAUUGAGAGUUUAUUGAAAGGCGUAGGCAUCUCAGGCAGGCAAAAUUUCUCAGCUGUGCGCUCAACAAGCUUGGAUCUUGGAGUUGAUCCUCCAUCCUCUCGUGAUCCUCAUAUACCGCUUGCUGCGCCUGCUUCAGACCGCCUUUCUUUGCAGAGUUCUGCAUUGUUGGAUUCAUCCCUCCCUAGCAUAAGCAUCAGAAGAAAUGGUGGUUCACGUUUGGUAGAUGCAAUGCCUCAGGUAGACACCAAGGAGCGAUCGAGGUCACCAUAUUCGCAUAAUCUAUCAUCUGAACCCAUGUCGGAUUUGUCAGUGCCUUAUUUGAGAAGAUCUUCAGGGAGAUCUCAAGAUGAUAGUAUUACAGAUGAGAGUAAUGAUACAUGGCCAAGGCCUAACAGGCGAUCGCCACAGAUGCAUACGGACAAACACUUCACAGAUAUGCCUUAUAGGGAUGCCAGUUACAGAAAUCCACAAAACAACCAUGUCCCACACUUCCAAAGGCCGCUUAGGAAGCAAGUGGCAUCAAGGGUUUCUGUGGGUGUCAGACACAGUUUUGAUGAUGGCCAUGUCCCAUCUAAUGACAUGUCUGGAUAUACAGAUGGCCCAGCAUCACUAAAUGAAGCCCUCUCUGAGGGUCUUAGUCCAAGCUCAGACUGGGUAGCAAGAGUUGCAGCUUUUAAUUUUGUUCAGACAUUAUUGCAACUAGGACAGAAAGGCAUUCAAGAAAUUACUCAGAACUUUGAAAAGGUCAUGAAGCUAUUUUUUCGUUAUUUGGAUGAUCCUCAUCACAAAGUUGCACAGGCAGCUUUCUCCACACUUGCAGAUAUUGUUCCAGCAUGCAAGAAGCCACUUGAGAGCUAUGUUGAAAGAAUUUUACCAUAUGUCUUUUCAAGACUUAUUGACCCAAAGGAGUUGGUUUCUAAGCCAUGUUCAUCGACCUUGGAAGUUGUUGGCCGAACAUAUGCUGUUGACACAUUGUUACCUGCAAUAGUACGUUCACUGGAUGAACAAAGGUCUCCUAAGGCGAAACUGGCUGUUCUUGAGUUCGCUAAUAAGUCAUUCAGCAAGUACAAGGUGGACUCUGAAGGUUACAGUAAUAGCGGCUUUCUUAAGCUCUGGCUUUCAAAACUAGCACCUUUAAUACAUGAAAAGAAUGCAAAGUUGAAGGAAACGUCCAUUAAAGGAAUCAUAUCAGUUUAUUCUCAUUUUGAUUCAACAGCAGUCCUAAACUUUAUUCUAAAUUUGUCGAUUGAAGAACAAAACCUUGUGAGGCGCUCGCUCAAGCAAUAUACUCCUCGUAUUGAGGUUGAUCUGGUAAACUACUUGCAGAGCAAGAAAGAGCGUUCACGUCCCAAGUCUUAUGAAUAUGAACAGAUUGAUUUUGGAACUUCUGAAGAUGGUUAUAAUCUGACAUCCAGGAAUAGCUAUCCUUUUGGACGGGUCUCUGCUAGUUCCUUUGACAAUGAAUCUGGGAAGAGGAUGCACGCAGUUCAAGAUGUCCACACUGAUCAUGCUAAUCAGUGUUUUGAGCCUUCUUCUGAAGCUGAAAUUUUUACAGCAAGUCGGGAGUCAAAGAGCAAUGCUCGCUCAGUUGUAGAAGCUGCACGCUCAUGGGCAGAUUAUCCUGAAAAAUCAGAUGCCACCAUUGAUGAUGAAAAUUCUGUUGGCACCCCUCGCCAGGAUUUUGGCCGUCAUGUCUCUGAUGGACAUAAUAAUGCUGCUUUUACAACUGUUGGGAAAAAUAUGCAAGACAUGGAUCAAUUUGUCGACCUUAGUUCUGUGAAGGUUGUCUCACAUACAACUAACAGCCCCAGCAUACCACAACUUCUUCAUCAGAUAAGUAAUGAUGGUGAAGUUUCAUCCCAAGACAAGCAGGACGCAUUGCAGCAGUUGGUGCAAGCAUCUGCGAACAAUGAUAACUCUAUAUGGACAAAGUAUUUCAAUCAGAUUUUAACAACUCUCCUUGAGGUAUUGGAUGACUCUGAUUCUUCUGUCAGGGAGCUUUCUCUAUCGCUAGUUGCUGAGAUGCUCCGCAAUCAGAAAGAUCAAAUGGAAGAAUCCAUAGAGAUUAUCCUUGAAAAGCUGGUGCAGAUGACCAAAGAUGUUGUGGCAAAGAUUUCAAAUGAAGCAAACCAGUGCUUAAAUGUCGUGUUGGCAAAAUAUGAUCCGUUUAGAUGCCUUGCUGUUAUUGUGCCAUUGCUAGUUACUGAUGAUGAGAAGACACUUGUCAUGUGUAUCAACUGUUUGACAAAGCUUGUUGGGCGGCUUUCACAAGAGGAAUUGGUGGCUCAACUCCCUUCAUUUUUACCAGCACUUUUUGAUGCUUUCAGUAACCAGAGUCCAGAUAUUCGCAAGACUGUUGUAUUCUGCCUGGUGGAUAUCUACAUCAUGCUAGGGAAAGCAUUUGUACCGUAUCUGGAGGGGCUUAGUAGCACACAGUUGCGGCUAGUAACAAUCUACGCAAAUCGGAUAUCGCAGGCAAGGUCUGGUGCACCUAUCGAUGCUAACCAAUGA
rnacentral:rRNA from 1 species